rnacentral:tRNA from 1 species
GCCGGGAUAGCUCAGUCGGCAGAGCGAAGGACUGAAAAUCCUUGCGUCGACGGUUCGAUUCCGCCUCCCGGCACCA